GCGUGCGGGUGGGUUGCGGCUGCGGUCGAGAGGAGAGGAGAGGAGUCGGGUCGGGCGUGUGGUGGUGGUGGGUCGGUCGCGUCUACAAAGAGUGGCUGUUCAUGGUGCGGGACGAGGGGGAGGUGAGGCGGGGGCGGUGGGCCCCGGGGGCGUUCCGCCGCCGGCACGGCCGCCAGUGGAGGUCCAAGCUGCGGCGGGAGCGGCGCGCGGAGCCCUCCGACGACGGGGACGGCCGGAGGGGCGAGCGCCGCGAGCGGGCGGAGCGGCUGGAGGAGCGGCGGUGCGAGCGCCUGCGGCACGGGCGCGAGCGGCGGCACGGGCCCCUGCCCUUCUUCCUGCGGCAGCGGCAGCGGCGCGUGCAGCUGCGGCCGCAGCGCGAGGACCUGCGGACGUUGCGGUAGCGGCGGGCGCAGCUGGCGGAGGCGGCGGCGGCGGACGAGAGGGCGGAGCGCGAGGUGGAGCAGAGGAGCUGCGGGGGCUCGGGCAGCAGGGAGUCGGCGCGCGCACGGCGCGAGCGGCUAGCGCUGCCGGCGCCGCGCCCCCCGUGAGGGAGAAGACGAGACGGUCGCGAGGGAAGGUAGGGCAAGCAGCUGGGCGGGGCGCCGCCGGCGCCCGUCGUCGAGUGGCGGCGGCGCGCCCAGCAGGAGCGGCACUUGCGGCACAGGAGGGAGCGGCGCUGUCGGCGCCGGUGGUAGGAGCCGCCGUGAUCGUCGUGGUUGGCACUGAGGUGGAAGGGGGUCCAGAGGCCGCUGGAGGGCACCCGCCUUAGGAAGUUGCGCCAGAGGUCGGUCGAGAGGCGGGAGCGGUUUAGGCCGUGGUCGUUGCUCUAGGUGCGGCGCCUGCUGCGGCACCCGUUCGAGCGCCGUCAGGAGCUCACGCGCCGGGGCCUCCUCCGCCGCGACGCGCGGCGCUGCGUCCUCCACCUCUUCGCCUGCCUCCUCGACCGCCGCGCCGACCUCGCCCACAGCCUGCGGCAGUUGCCGCACAAGGCGCGCCGCGACGCAGAGGCGUUGCGGCUCGACCCGUCGAAGUACCGCCGGCCUGGGCGGCCGUUCCGCGGCGCGUCAUUCUUCAUCGGCAAGCGGCGAGUGGCGGCAACGAUAUGAUCAUGAUCAUCGUCAUUCAUGUCACGCACACAGCACAGGUUCACAUAUGUCUCGCUAUGUCUGUCUCAGUCCACGUCAUGUCCUGAUGUAUGUAUGUCGGUAUGUCAGCCACAUGACGACGCACACACGCAGCAGUUCCUACCUCCGGUGUACACUCCUAUGAAACGUAAAACGUGGGAAAACCUUUACACCUUAGGCCAAUUCCAUUUACUUUUCUUUUGGCAG
rnacentral:rRNA from 1 species